rnacentral:rRNA from 1 species
AUUGAGGCUCGAAAGUGUGGGUAUCAAACAGGAUUAGAUACCCUGGUAGUCCACACGGUAAACGAUGAAUACUCGCUGUUUGCGAUAUACUGCAAGCGGCCAAGCGAAAGCGUUAAGUAUUCCACCUGGGGAGUACGCCGGCAACGGUGAAACUCAAAGGAAUUGACGGGGGCCCGCACAAGCGGAGGAACAUGUGGUUUAAUUCGAUGAUACGCGAGGAACCUUACCCGGGCUUGAAUUGCAGAGGAACAUAGUUGAAAGAUUAUGGCCGCAAGGUCUCUGUGAAGGUGCUGCAUGGUUGUCGUCAGCUCGUGCCGUGAGGUGUCGGCUUAAGUGCCAUAACGAGCGCAACCCUUAUCAUUAGUUACUAACAGGUCAUGCUGAGGACUCUAGUGAGACUGCCGUCGUAAGAUGUGAGGAAGGUGGGGAUGACGUCAAAUCAGCACGGCCCUUACGUCCGGGGCUACACACGUGUUACAAUGGCAGGUACAGAGAGAUGGUGUUCUGCAAAGCGCAUCUAAUCCUUAAAGCCUGUCUCAGUUCGGACUGGGGUCUGCAACCCGACCCCACGAAGCUGGAUUCGCUAGUAAUCGCGCAUCAGCCAUGGCGCGGUGAAUACGUUCCCGGGCCUUGUACACACCGCCCGUCAAGCCAUGAAAGCCGGGGGCGCCUAAAGUCCGUGACCGUAAGGAGCGGCCUAGGGCGAAACUGGUAAUUGGGGCUAAGUCGUAACAAGGUAGCCGUACCGGAAGGUGCGGCUG